UACGUAGGGUGCAAGCGUUAAUCGGAAUUACUGGGCGUAAAGCGUGCGCAGGCGGUUUUGUAAGUCUGUCGUGAAAGCCCCGGGCUCAACCUGGGAAUUGCGUUGGAGACUGCAAGGCUAGAAUCUGGCAGAGGGGGGUAGAAUUCCACGUGUAGCAGUGAAAUGCGUAGAGAUGUGGAGGAACACCGAUGGCGAAGGCAGCCCCCUGGGUCAAGAUUGACGCUCAUGCACGAAAGCGUGGGGAGCAAACAGG
rnacentral:rRNA from 1 species